rnacentral:pre_miRNA from 1 species
UCUUAUGGAUGAGCCAAGAAAGUGGUUUCUUUGGAAUCUACUCCUGCUGAAGAUGCUGGGAA